rnacentral:rRNA from 1 species
UGGGGAAUUUUGGACAAUGGGCGAAAGCCUGAUCCAGCAAUGCCGCGUGUGUGAAGAAGGCCUUCGGGUUGUAAAGCACUUUUGUCCGGAAAGAAAUCCUUGGCUCUAAUACAGUCGGGGGAUGACGGUACCGGAAGAAUAAGCACCGGCUAACUACGUGCCAGCAGCCGCGGUAAUACGUAGGGUGCAAGCGUUAAUCGGAAUUACUGGGCGUAAAGCGUGCGCAGGCGGUUUGCUAAGACCGAUGUGAAAUCCCCGGGCUCAACCUGGGAACUGCAUUGGUGACUGGCAGGCUAGAGUAUGGCAGAGGGGGGUAGAAUUCCACGUGUAGCAGUGAAAUGCGUAGAGAUGUGGAGGAAUACCGAUGGCGAAGGCAGCCCCUGGCCAAUACUGACGCUCAUGCACGAAAGCGUGGGGAGCAAAACAGGAUUAGAUACCCCUGGUAGUCCACGCCCUAAACGAUGUCAACUAGUUGUUGGGGAUUCAUUUCCUUAGUAACUAGCUAACGCGUGAAGUUGACCGCCUGGGGAGUACGGUCGCAAGAUUAAAACUUAAAUGAAUUG